rnacentral:rRNA from 1 species
GACGAACGCUGGCGGCGUGCUUAACACAUGCAAGUCGAACGAUGACGACCGAGCUUGCUCGGUCUGAUUAGUGGCGAACGGGUGAGUAACACGUGAGCAACCUGCCCUUCACUCUGGGAUAACCUCGGGAAAUCGGGGCUAAUACCGGAUAUGAGCUCCUGUCGCAUGGCGGGUGUUGGAAAGUUUUUCGGUGAAGGAUGGGCUCGCGGCCUAUCAGUUUGUUGGUGGGGUAAUGGCUCACCAAGGCGAUGACGGGUAGCCGGCCUGAGAGGGCGACCGGCCACGCUGGGACUGAGACACGGCCCAGACUCCUACGGGAGGCAGCAGUGGGGAAUAUUGCACAAUGGGCGAAAGCCUGAUGCAGCGACGCCGCGUGAGGGAUGACGGCCUUCGGGUUGUAAACCUCUUUCAGCAGGGAAGAAGCGAAAGUGACGGUACCUGCAGAAGAAGCGCCGGCUAACUACGUG